rnacentral:rRNA from 1 species
GACGAACGCUGGCGGCGUGCUUAACACAUGCAAGUCGAGCGGUAAGGCCCUUUCGGGGGUACACGAGCGGCGAACGGGUGAGUAACACGUGGGUGACCUGCCCUCAGCUCUGGGAUAAGCCUGGGAAACCGGGUCUAAUACUGGAUAUGACUCCAUGACGCAUGUUGUGGGGUGGAAAGCCUUGUGCGGCUGAGGAUGGGCCCGCGGCCUAUCAGCUUGUUGGUGGGGUGAUGGCCUACCAAGGCGACGACGGGUAGCCGGCCUGAGAGGGCGACCGGCCACACUGGGACUGAGACACGGCCCAGACUCCUACGGGAGGCAGCAGUGGGGAAUCUUGCGCAAUGGGCGAAAGCCUGACGCAGCGACGCCGCGUGAGGGAUGACGGCCCUCGGGUUGUAAACCCCUUCAGCUCCGACGAAGCGAGAAGUGACGGUAGGAGCAGAAGAAGCGCCGGCCAACUACGUGCCAG